UUCGCAAUAUCAUUGAUCACAACAAAGACUAGUCGAUCAUUCUUCAACUUUCUAUCUCUCAACCUUCAACCAUGGAAUUUUUUAAAACGUUCUGUCUUCGAAGAUCAUUGGGAAUGAUGAUGGAAAAUGUUGAACUAUUAUCUGAUUGAGAAGCGUGCUGAUGGCAUAGAACACGCCUACAUUGAUGCCAUAACUGAACAAUAGUAACAAGUAACCGACGUUUGUGACCAGUUUCUUCAUUUCUAUGAAAAAACUUUUCGGAGUUUCGUUCUCUCUCUGAACUUGAGCUUGUGCUUGAUUCGGAGGAAGCGGUGGUUUAGACUUAAAAACUACAAGAAAAUAUUAUUUCAAUAUGGAGGACUGAAAAUUGUAAUGGUCCCAUCAUGAGCUAUCCCGACAAGAGUUCCGCUCUCGAAAGCUUGUGCUCGAGGAGCGGCAAACUUGGCAGUCACGUCAUAAACAGCAAGGUCAACGAUCAUUUAUAUCAAUUUUGCGAUAUCUAUCGUAUAUUUCUUUAUUAACUAUAUACAUAUAUAGCAAAUGGCAUUGUAAUAAAAAUUUCAUUAAAACCUCACCAGAUGUGAAGAACGAUUGAUGUACGCAUUCUAAGAAUAGAAUUCUUUUGAUCGAACAGAUAUGAUUUCUUUGAAAUGAAAUAUUCAAGAUUCUCGAACUAUACAUCUGCAUACUUGAGAUAAGAAGAAAAAAGAUUCCCGGACUAUCUGUAUACUCGAGACCAGAAAAAAUCUAUAUCAAAGUUGAUAAAAUAAUCUGAUCGGCGCUGCACCUUGAAUAGAUUAUCUUCCUACCAGAAGGGGUGAUCUGUUUGAAAUACAUAGGUUUAAUUCGCUGAAUGGGGUCCCAGAUCCCCCCUCGUACCGCCACGAAAUAAAACGUGGGUGCACGUUACGAUUCUGUUUCCCAUCUAAUCACUACUUAAUUCUCCAACGACCCUGUCUCUCGAAUUAGAGUUUUACUACACAGAUACGUUCGGCUCUAUCCAGUUGAAAAUUUGGCGUGCGCGAUUCUAUUGCUAUUGUUUCGAGUAAAGUGAUCGUAAUUAAUGUCUUUGAGACAAUAAUUGAGACAAUGAUCUGGUAUUAUAACGAGGACUCUUUUGGAGAAUAAAGGAAAUAGGAAAUUAAUAAUGAAAGGGUCUUUUGAAAAGAGAUGUUGCACGAGGUGUUCGAGAUAUAAUUUUCCUCAAAAAUGAAAGAAGAAA